UCUCUCUUUGGGCCUCAUCCAGUAUGGUGGCAGUCCAUAUCAUUCUCAACACUCAACUGUGCUCUUACACAAGUGGCCUCAUCCUGAUGCUUCUUUCAUUACACUGAACAUCAUUGUCUGAACAUCAGCUAUGUGUGUGAGCUGGGUGCCACACUGGAGUUCAUGCAUAGCGAGCUUUGCACGCCCUCACACAACGCAACGCAUCUACCGGAGGCCGUGUAUUGGCGGAACCGCUCUGGUGCUUGAUCAGUCAGAGCCAAGUGAGCGAGCUAACUAAUCUGAGCAUACUGGGCUCAUCAGGAAGGAGAGGCUUAAAGACACUGGAGCUCUAACAGAGCGUUUCAGACAGAGGAUGCAUUUUCCUCAUAUCUCUGACAAAGAAGACCAACACUGAGAAAAAACAGAGGAAGAAGCGAUGGGCUGUGAAUCUGACAGUUCUCUCACUCUUCACGGAUUUAACUCUGAAAGGAGAGAUCAGUAACAUUAGCAGUGCGAUAUCAGUAAUGUUAGUGUUCAGGCAUUACGGCAUGGACAUAUGCACACUGAGUUAUCUGUGUCCUGUUUCCUGUGUCCACAUAUGUCCACAGCUUGACUCUAUUCCAGCUACCAGCACAUCUGAGUCUGAUAUUAAUUGUUUGACAGCUGAUCAUUAUCUGGCUCAGGUAUGUUAUGAGUACUGCUGGGGUUCAGACCUCUGUAUAACUCUGUUGGUCAGUUUUUCUUUUUAGUCCAUAUUAAUUUGUCUUAAAAUUGU